rnacentral:rRNA from 1 species
AGAAUCAACGCUGGCGGCGUGCCUAACACAUGCAAGUCGAACGAGAAAGUGGAGCAAUCCAUGAGUAAAGUGGCGACCGGGUGAGUAACACGUGACUAACCUACCUUCGGAGUGGGGGAUAACAUCGGGAAACCGAUGCUAAUACCGCGAUAACAUCGCAAGAUCAAAGCAGCAAUGCGCUUGAAGAGGGGGUCGCGGCUGAUUAGCUAGUUGGCGGGUAAUGGCCCACCAAGGCGAAGAUCGGUAUCCGGCCUGAGAGGGCGCACGGACACACUGGAACUGAAACACGGUCCAGACUCCUACGGGAGGCAGCAGUGGGGAAUUUUGCGCAAUGGGGGAAACCCUGACGCAGCAACGCCGCGUGGAGGAUGAAGCCCCUUGGGGCGUAAACUCCUUUCGACCAAGACGAUAAUGACGGUACUGGUGGAAGAAGCACCGGCUAACUCUGCGCCAGCAGCCGC